GAGUUGUUCGAGACAUUUAUAGCGUUUUUUUUCUCUCCUCCAUAUCACCCCCGCGGCUCCAAAGAUGCGCUCACAGAAAAGAAGAAGACAACGAAGCAGUCCGCCGUCUUCACAACUCUGAGAUAAACUGUAGCAGGCACUACGAACCGGAGCAAGGACUAACCUCGCCUCAUAACGAGGCUGUGACCUAU